AGCAGGCAGACUUGAGUCUCCUUUCUGUCCAUGGGCUCGGGCCACUGUAUCAGGUCCACCCGUGGCUCCAAAAUGGUCUCCUGGUCCGUGAUAGCAAAGAUCCAGGAAAUAUGGUGCGAGGAAGAUGAGAGGAAGAUGGCGCGAGAGUUCCUGGCCGAGUUCAUGAGCACAUAUGUCAUGAUGAACAUACAUAUGAUAGUUGAGAAAGACACAUAUUCUGAUCAUGAAGAAAUAAACACAAGUUAAAUAUGACUAAGCAGAAAGAUGGAAGGACCAGGAAUGGUGAUGCUAACUUGGAACCACGAUGCAGGCUCUAAACUCCUCUACAAUCAUCCUCCCUUGUGAGAAAAAUACGUAAGUCACUUUUAAAAUAAAUAGAAACCU
rnacentral:lncRNA from 1 species